GGCUUUUUUGUUGUCCUCCUUGGCGAGAAAAGGGCCCCAUGAUGUAGAAUCUUGUUACGUGGUGGCUCUUAGAAUCACCAUAGAAACAGACAUCGAAGCACGUGCGAGGGGUUUUCCAGAUUCGGCUAACAGAGAUGGGAAGACCUACCUGGGAUGUGGUUGGCAUCGUUCCAUGGCAGGGGCUCUGGUAUGACUCAGAAGGGCUGUUUCCCAAAUGAGCCACCGGAUGCAUCUAACAUUUCUACAGACCUUGAAGACUCAGACAGAAAUCAUGUAUUCAGUGUCACCUCUAGGUCCCUCUGCUGGAACCCACAACAGGACCCUGUCUGCUCAUUUA